GGUGAAUGUGAGUUGAGAUAUGCAAAUAUCACUUAUAAAUUAGCUAUCAUUAGUAUUACCAACAGCCCACCAUUAACAAAUGAAUUUAUUAAUUUGUUACUUACCAACUUCAUAAACAUUUUUGUUGGCUAGGCUUGAAUUGCUGAUCUCUGCAUAUGCAGAGUCCCUUCGUGCUGGUGACUUCAUCUCCACGUAUCCACACUCAGUGUUUUUCGGCAGAAGGACCGGUGGAUCUUUUAUAGUAGCAUAAGGAUUUUCACUGCUACUCACGGAACAGGACCGCCCCUUGGGAUCCUAUGAUUCAACAGCAGUAUUUACGGAUAUCUACAGUUUGAUGAUGAAGAGAGCUAACAGGAAAAGGACAACCAACACAAGGACAAUGAUUCCAGCAAUGGCUCCAAUCUGAGAGACCCCAUGAAGCCAGCUAAACAAUCACACUGGCCAGUUACAUGAUGACAAGGACCAUUGCUAUGGACACACUGAGGACAAG